UUAGAGUUUGAUCCUGGCUCAGAUUGAACGCUGGCGGCAGGCUUAACACAUGCAAGUCGAGCGGGGGAAGGUAGCUUGCUACUGGACCUAGCGGCGGACGGGUGAGUAAUGCUUAGGAAUCUGCCUAUUAGUGGGGGACAACAUCUCGAAAGGGAUGCUAAUACCGCAUACGUCCUACGGGAGAAAGCAGGGGAUCUUCGGACCUUGCGCUAAUAGAUGAGCCUAAGUCGGAUUAGCUAGUUGGUGGGGUAAAGGCCUACCAAGGCGACGAUCUGUAGCGGGUCUGAGAGGAUGAUCCGCCACACUGGGACUGAGACACGGCCCAGACUCCUACGGGAGGCAGCAGUGGGGAAUAUUGGACAAUGGGCGCAAGCCUGAUCCAGCCAUGCCGCGUGUGUGAAGAAGGCCUUAUGGUUGUAAAGCACUUUAAGCGAGGAGGAGGCUACUUUAGAUAAUACCUAGAGAUAGUGGACGUUACUCGCAGAAUAAGCACCGGCUAACUCUGUGCCAGCAGCCGCGGUAAUACAGAGGGUGCAAGCGUUAAUCGGAUUUACUGGGCGGUAAAGCGCGCGUAGGCGGCUAAUUAAGUCAAAUGUGAAAUCCCCGAGCUUAACUUGGGAAUUGCAUUCGAUACUGGUUAGCUAGAGUGUGGGAGAGGAUGGUAGAAUUCCAGGUGUAGCGGUGAAAUGCGUAGAGAUCUGGAGGAAUACCGAUGGCGAAGGCAGCCAUCUGGCCUAACACUGACGCUGAGGUGCGAAAGCAUGGGGAGCAAACAGGAUUAGAUACCCUGGUAGUCCAUGCCGUAAACGAUGUCUACUAGCCGUUGGGGCCUUUGAGGCUUUAGUGGCGCAGCUAACGCGAUAAGUAGACCGCCUGGGGAGUACGGUCGCAAGACUAAAACUCAAAUGAAUUGACGGGGGCCCGCACAAGCGGUGGAGCAUGUGGUUUAAUUCGAUGCAACGCGAAGAACCUUACCUGGCCUUGACAUACCAUGAACU
rnacentral:rRNA from 1 species